CAACCCUCAAGCUCUGCUUGGUAUUGGGCGUCCACCGGCUUGGUGCGCCUUAAAAUCAGUGGCGGUGCCCCCUGGCUUCAAGCGUAGUAUUACUUUUCGCGCUCUGGAGGUCCGGGUUGGGUCUGCUUGCCAAAAACCCCACACUGUUCUCAAGG
rnacentral:misc_RNA from 1 species